rnacentral:misc_RNA from 1 species
UGGGAGGAGGUAGGAAGCAUACUUAUAUUGAAAAGGUGGUGUUGAUUCUAUCCAAAGACAACUUUAGGGUUCACAGCUAUAAUCAUGAAACAUUCUUAAUUUGGGAGAAAGCCUUAAACAUGCUCAUGCUUAAUUUACUUAGGCACUAGUCAACAAAGCAAAAAUAAUAAUAAAAAGAAAUUGUAAAUUAGAUACAGAAGAGAUCUUAAAAACUUAGCAUAAUAAAAAUCUUGGAAAACCUUUUCUUCUUACACUAAUUAUCUUGAGUGAUUAACAAGCAAUAAUUUUCAACCGCUGUUGCCGCUUCCAUUGGCUGAUCCAGGCAUCAGCUCUCUCAACAAGGCCACCACUUGCAACAUGUUUGGUCUCUUGGAAGGGAAGUCAUCAACACACUGCAAUGUAAUCUCCAAGUACCUAGCCAUUUCUUUAACUUCUUCUGCUUCAGCUUCAUCAGUUCCUUUAGUGACAGAAAGCAAUUCAGGGUCUAUCACUUCCAUUUGUUUCUGUUCGCUUACCUUCAUUUUCACCCAACCCACCAAGUUAGUGUCACCAAAAUCAUCCUUAUCCGUUGGGCGUUUUCCUGUCAGGAGUUCCAAUAGAACAACCCCACAUGAAUAUACAUCUCCUUUUGCAGUGCACCUGAAGCUUUGGUAGUACUCUGGAGGGACAUAGCCAGGUGUUCCCGCCAGUGUGCUUACACUAAGAUGGGUGUCGAGUGCGUUUAUGAGCCUUGCCAUUCCAAAAUCUGAGACUCUUGCUUCCAAUUCAUGGUCCAGGAGCACAUUACUUGAUUUCAUGUCUCGGUGAAUUAUGUGUGGGAUGCAGUUGUGGUGUAGGAAACAGAGUCCCUUGGCUGCACCUCUUGCAAUCUUUUUCCUUUCAUCCCAAGUUAGAAUUCGCCUAUCUCGUGUUCUUACUUUUCCAUGGAGCAUCUCAUCCAGGCUUCCAAACUCCAUGAACUCAUACACAAGUAGUCUUUCCUCACCAAUCUUGCAGUAACCCAGCAGAGGGACAAGGUUUCUAUGCUUUAUCUUCCCUAGAGUUUCCAUUUCAGCCAUGAAUUCUCGGUCUCCCUGGCAGCUCAAUCUUAUGAGCUUCUUGAUUGCAACACUUGAUCCAUCCUUCAAUGUGGCCUUGAACACCUCUCCAAACCCACCACAGCCAAUAAGACUUGCUUGAGAGAAGCCAUUUGUAGCCUCAAUUAGUUGGGAGAACUUGAGCUUUCUUAGCUGCCUCUGGAAAGUAGCUACAUUGAUGCUCAGUGGCUCCUUCUCUUUGUCAAUCUUCCAUGUUGUGGCUGCAUGGGAUGCCUGCAAACUAUUAAGCAUCUUCACUUCCUCUGCUUCCUUAUGCUUCACUCGCAUUGCUACAGCCCACACAAUCAAAAUGCAUAGAGAUGCCACGGAAAUAAGGAUUCCUAAAACGAUGCUAUUAGCCCAUGAAGAAGCUGCAUUCUUCCGGCCUCCUCUGCCGCCAUCCACAGUCGGACUUGAUGUUGCUUGACCAUUCCCGCCGUGGCAAUCAGUCAAUGGAACCCCACAAAGUCCUGGAUUGUGUGAAUACUGUGACGCAGGAAGUGUACUGAGUUGCCCUCUCUGUGGAAUUUCCCCUGUUAAUUCAUUAUAGGACAGAUCAAUUUGCACCAAGAAAGACAACAUUGAGAAUGAAUCUGGGAUUUGGCCUUGCAAUCUGUUAUGUGAUGCAUCAAAAACUCCCAAAUUCUUGAGCUGACCAAGUGAUGGAGGAAUCUCUCCAGAUAGCUGGUUAUGUGCUAACACAAGAACUUGCAAAGCUAUCAUUUCCCCCAUUUCAUCUGGGAUCUUCCCUCGAAGCUCGUUGUAAGAAAGAUCCAGAUACUCCAGUGUUUGGUACUGCGUAAAAAGGCUCAGGACUGGUCCUGUAUACAAUCUUGUGAAAUCACAAGUCUUCAGUGUCGGGACCUGCAUAAAUCUUUCUGGUCUGAUACCAGCAAAUUCCAAUAAACCUCCAACUCCUUGACAUGAAUUACCCACAUUUCUCACGAACACUAAAGUGUUCCCAGAUGGAAUUACACCCAGUGCUUUUGCUCCAAGCUGCCGGCCAAGUCGAGGUGGGAUUUCACCGAUGAGCCUAUUGCUGCCCAGGUCUAACCAAACCAAGCUGCUGCAAUUGCUAAGCUCUGUUGGUAUCUCUCCACUCAAGGUGUUAUUUCCAAGCUGCAGAACAACUAACCGAGACAGAAGGCCAAAUUCCUGUGGGAUUUUGCCUGUGAUCCGAUUGCUUGUGAGAGAUAUCCACUCAAGAUUGCUGCAACUGAAUAAUUCAACUGGAAUUUCACCAGUAAGGUGAUUGUUAUUGAGAAUGAGAUCUUUGAGGUUGCUGCAUUUCCCCAACUCUGGUGGAAUUCUCCCUUCCAAGCCAUUAUACCAAGCUAUAAGCUGCUCGAGAUUCUCAAGUUUCCCAAGCUCGGGAGGGAUCGAACCAUUGAGGUAGUUUAUGCUAAAAUCAAGCGUCUUUAGCUUGAAACAUUGCGAUAAUUGACUAGGGAUUUCUCCAACGAUGACAUUAUCUGGCAUUCUCAGCUCCUCAAGAGAAGCUGCACCUGGACAUAUAUCUGGUGGGAUGAUGCCAGAAACUUUAUUGGAACUAAAAUCCACAAUUCUUAAAUUUUUGCAGUAUGAAAUGGAAGCCGGAAAUGAUCCAGAGAUGAUGUUGUAACUUAACAGCAAUCUCUCUAAUGAAUUAAGAUUCUGAAGGAUAGAAUCUGGAAAAGGACCUGAGAUAUUAUUGUUGGACAAAUCAAGAAGUUGCAGCAAAGAACAAGAGGAGAAGGAGACAGGGAUAGAGCCUGAAAUGUUGUUAAAAGAAAGCUUAAGCUCUAAAAGUGAACUGCAUGCAUUUGUCAACUCAGAAGGGAUCCAACCGGUGAGAUGGUUAUGGGAGAGAUCCAAUCUUUGCAAGCCACUGAGUUCACCAAAAGAUCUUGGGAUCUCUCCUGUAAGCAUAUUGGCGGACAAAUUCAAAGUCUUCAGAUUUGUGCAAUUUGAAAGGGAGGGAGGAAUGGAAUCCACUAAAUAGUUUCCAGAUAGAUCAAGUUGCGACAAGGAGUUGCAGGAGUUUUCAAUUUUCAAACCCGAAAUUGAGCCUGUAAAAUUGUUAUAGGAAAGGUCAAGGGUCUGUAGUUUAUCAGAGUUGGACAAGAGAUCAUCGGGUAAAAAACCUGUUAAAUUAUUAUGAGAAAGAUUGACGUAAACAAGAUUCGGGUUCUUGGAGAAAAAAUUCUUAGGAACCACACCCACUAGUCCAGCUGAAGAUAAUUCAAGAAAUUGUAGUGCAUAUGGGAGAUGAAGCAAAGAAGUUGAAUUUACAGUAAAUAGAUUUGAAGAUAAUUUCAAACUAGAUAACAUAUCAAGAGAAGUUAAAGGAUCAAAAGAUAUAACACCAACAAGAUUACCCCCAGUAAGAUCAAGCUGAGUGACUCUUCCAAAAGAGCAAGUAACUCCAUACCACGCACAGGGACUCCUAUUAAGCUUCCAUCCAGACAAAACUCCGUUUGGGUCCUUUUGAAUCAGCUUCUUGAACAAAAGUAGGCCUGCAGCAUCGGUCUUAAUCGAAGUACCAACACCUUGCUCGGCUAUAGAAACCGAAGCCAACACAGAAAAGAGAAGCAGUGCAAGUACAAGAUCAUGGAAAAGCUGAACUGGUUUGCUCUCCAUUGAAGAAAGAAGUUUUGAGGAACAAACAAUGGGGGGAGAGAGAAAGAGAGAAAUAGAAGCAACAGAGAGAAUUGAAAGUAGAAAGGAAAAGAGAAAGUGGUGAAUAUGAUGAGAAUUU